UACAGAGGGGGCAAGCGUUAUUCGGAAUUAUUGGGCGUAAAGCGCGCGUAGGCGGCCACUUAAGUCGGAUGUGAAAGCCCUUGGCUCAACUGAGGAAGUGCACCCGAAACUGAAUGGCUUGAGUACUAAAGAGGGUCGCGGAAUUCCCGGUGUAGAGGUGAAAUUCGUAGAUAUCGGGAGGAACACCGGUGGCGAAGGCGGUUCUCUGGGAAUGUACUGACGCUGAGGAGCGAAAGUGUGGGGGGCGAACAGG
rnacentral:rRNA from 1 species